CCUACGGGUGGCAGCAGUGGGGAAUAUUGGACAAUGGGCGAAAGCCUGAUCCAGCCAUGCCGCGUGUGUGAAGAAGGCCUUCGGGUUGUAAAGCACUUUCAGUGGGGAAGAAAGCCUUGGGGCUAAUACCCUCGAGGAAGGACAUCACCCACAGAAGAAGCACCGGCUAACUCCGUGCCAGCAGCCGCGGUAAUACGGAGGGUGCGAGCGUUAAUCGGAAUUACUGGGCGUAAAGCGCGCGUAGGCGGUCUGAUAAGCCGGUUGUGAAAGCCCCGGGCUCAACCUGGGAACGGCAUCCGGAACUGUCAGGCUAGAGUGCAGGAGAGGAAGGUGGAAUACCCGGUGUAGCGGUGAAAUGCGUAGAGAUCGGGAGGAAUACCAGUGGCGAAGGCGGUCUUCUGGACUGACACUGACGCUGAGGUGCGAAAGCGUGGGUAGCAAACAGGAUUAGAUACCCCGGUAGUC
rnacentral:rRNA from 1 species